UGUGCUAUAAAAUGCUGAUACGUAGAUGAAAACUACUGUCUUCACAUUCAUUCAUUCUGGUUCCCAUCGAGCGAUAUAGAUAAGAUCGAAAUUGAGAGAUGGCUGCUAUGCAAACUACUUUGACAUCAGUUGUUGGAAAUAAUGGGAAUAACUCUGCUCCCUUGAAGUUUCCUAACAGUUCGUUCUUGUCUGGGAUUGAUGUGACUGUGCACAUUGCUGGCUUAUGGAGAAGGGGCAUGUGGUCCUCUUCUUUUUCAGGCCCCAAAGCUACAUUAACCUUUGAUCCCCCUACUACCAAUACAGAAAAGCCUAAGCAACGGAAGCACACAGUUGAUCCUAAUGCUCCUGAUUUUCUUCCGCUUCCAUCCUUUCAGGAAUGCUUCCCAAGAAGCUCUAAAGAAUACACGGAAGUCAUUCAUGAGCAAUCUGGUCAUUUGCUCAAAGUUCCAUUUCGACGCAUCCACCUAGCAGGAGAUGAACCACAUUUUGAUACCUAUGACACAAGUGGUCCUCAGAACAUAAGCCCUCGCACUGGACUCCCCAAGUUGCGGAAGGAGUGGAUUGACAGGAGGGAGAAGUUGGGUGGUCCUAGGUAUACGCAGAUGUUCUAUGCUAAGCAAGGAAUUAUAACAGAAGAAAUGGCAUACUGUGCUGCUCGUGAGAAACUUGACCCAGAAUUUGUGAGAUCAGAAGUUGCUCGUGGUCGUGCAAUUAUUCCGUCUAACAAGAAGCAUACAGAGUUGGAGCCAAUGAUAGUUGGGCGCAAUUUCUUGGUGAAAGUGAAUGCUAAUAUUGGGAACUCUGCUGUUGUGAGCUCCAUUGAGGAAGAAGUUCACAAGCUUCAAUGGGCAACAAUGUGGGGUGCUGAUACCAUUAUGGAUCUCUCAACAGGCCGUCACAUCCAUGAAACCCGUGAAUGGAUCCUUCGUAACUCUGCUGUACCUGUUGGGACUGUGCCCAUUUAUCAAGCAUUGGAGAAAGUGAAUGGCAUUGCAGAGAAUCUGAAUUGGGAAGUUUUUAGGGAAACACUGAUUGAACAGGCUGAGCAAGGUGUGGAUUAUUUUACAAUCCAUGCUGGAGUCCUGCUCCGGUACAUCCCACUAACAGCCAAACGAAUGACUGGAAUAGUUUCUCGUGGGGGAUCCAUUCAUGCCAAGUGGUGCUUAGCUUAUCACAAAGAGAACUUUGCUUAUGAACAUUGGGAUGAGAUACUGGACAUCUGUAAUCAAUAUGACAUAUCUUUGUCAAUUGGUGAUGGAUUGAGGCCUGGGUCAAUAUAUGAUGCAAAUGAUACUGCUCAGUUUGCAGAGCUCUUAACUCAAGGAGAACUUACCCGUAGAGCUUGGGAAAAGGAUGUACAGGUCAUGAAUGAAGGGCCUGGCCAUAUCCCAAUGCACAAGAUUCCUGAGAAUAUGCAGAAACAGCUGGAAUGGUGUAAUGAAGCACCAUUCUACACUCUUGGACCUUUGACAACUGAUAUUGCUCCUGGAUAUGAUCAUAUUACAUCAGCCAUUGGUGCUGCCAAUAUUGGGGCUCUUGGCACAGCACUUCUUUGUUAUGUGACUCCCAAAGAACAUCUUGGUUUGCCUAAUCGAGACGAUGUGAAGGCUGGGGUUAUAGCAUAUAAGAUAGCCGCACAUGCUGCUGAUUUGGCAAAAGGUCACCCACAUGCUCAAGCUUGGGAUGAUACACUGAGCAAGGCUAGAUUUGAGUUCCGAUGGAUGGAUCAAUUUGCUUUGUCACUGGACCCUGUGACUGCAUUGUCCUUCCAUGAUGAAACCCUACCAUCUGAUGGUGCAAAGGUGGCACAUUUCUGUUCUAUGUGUGGGCCUAAGUUUUGUUCCAUGAAGAUUACUGAGGAUGUAAGAAAAUACGCAGAGGAGCAUGGUUAUGGGAGUGCAGAGGAAGCGGUCCAGCAGGGUAUGGCUUCUAUGAGUGCUGAGUUCCUAGCUGCGAAGAAAACUAUCAGCGGGGAGCAACAUGGUGAGGUUGGAGGAGAAAUCUACUUGCCUGAGGAUUACAUAAAGUCUAUGAAGGGCUAAAGGAUAAUGUGGGCUCCGUGAUGUGGAACGGAAUAUCCUGAAGCCAUGAUGCAUGAUUGGCCAGUCUCAAGAACAACGCUUAAAAAAUUCCAUCUUCAAGCAGUAGGGGUGUCUGCAUCUGCUUCAUUGCUGGCUGUUCGGCCGUGAUGUUAGCAGGUCAGGCUGAGAAAGUCCCUUUGAACCUGAACAGGAUAAUUCCUGCGUAGGGAGAGUGCAUUUUCUUUUCUGUGCUUGCACAGGGCAGGAAAUUCAUCUGUGGUUCGGGCUAGGAGAGGUGUUCAGCUCAGAGGGUGGAAUUAUUAUUUUUAUCAUCCGGCCACGAAGCAGAUACAACUAACAACUUUUAACGUCGCUAGUCAACUGUCCACUGUUUGGUAUAGAUGAAUUCGAUAGUAGUAAAAAUAAGUUAAAAUCUUGUUAAUAUACCGUGCGCCAAAUAGUAGGAAAAGUUGACUGCUCUCUGAAGUAUAUGAAGUUUGAAUUAUGAUGGUAGGAGAUAAUUAACCGACUCCUGAAUAUUAUUUUACGAUGUUGAGUUGAUAAAUGGAUAAUAUUUGGAAUCCUCAAUAUCUAUAUUUGUAUGAUAGAGUUGUGGUUUCUCGACAAAUAAUCCUAUUAAAUUUUGGUACAAGUUUCAUGUGUAUAACACGAUAAAUUUAUUGUCA